rnacentral:rRNA from 1 species
GAGUUUGAUCUUGGCUCAGAUUGAACGCUGGCGGCAUGCCUUACACAUGCAAGUCGAACGGCAGCACGGGAGCUUGCUCCUGGUGGCGAGUGGCGAACGGGUGAGUAAUGCAUCGGAACGUAUCCUGGAGUGGGGGAUAACGUAGCGAAAGUUACGCUAAUACCGCAUAUUCUGUGAGCAGGAAAGCGGGGGACCUUCGGGCCCCGCGCUCUUGGAGCGGCCGAUGUCGGAUUAGCUAGUUGGUGAGGUAAAGGCUCACCAAGGCGACGAUCCGUAGCAGGUCUGAGAGGAUGAUCUGCCACACUGGAACUGAGACACGGUCCAGACUCCUACGGGAGGCAGCAGUGGGGAAUUUUGGACAAUGGGGGCAACCCUGAUCCAGCCAUGCCGCGUGAGUGAAGAAGGCCU